CCAAUAGCGUAUAUUAAAGUUGUUGCAGUUAAAAAGCUCGUAGUUGAAUUUCGGAAUCUGUCCGUUGGUCGGGCUUCAUUGUCCGUACUGGUGUGAUGGGUUCUUACCUUCUGAAUAACCAGCAUGCCAUUUAUUUGGUGCGCUGGGGAAGCAGGACUAUUACCUUGAAAAAAUUAGAGUGCUCAAAGCAGGCUAGUGCCUGAAUACAUUAGCGUGGAAUAAUAAAAUAGGACGGCAUGGUUCUAUGUUGUUGGUUUCUAGGAUCACCGUAAUGAUUAAUAGGGAUAGUUGGGGGCAUUAGUAUUCAAUUGUCAGAGGUGAAAUUCUUGGAUUUAUUGAAGACUAACUUCUGCGAAAGCAUUUGCCAAGGAUGUUUUCAUUAAUCAAGAACGAAAGUUAGGGGAUCGAAGACGAUCAGAUACCGUCGUAGUCUUAACCAUAAACUAUGCCGACUAGGGAUCGGACGAUGUUAAUUUUUUAAUGACUCGUUCGGCGCCUUACGG
rnacentral:rRNA from 1 species